rnacentral:rRNA from 1 species
AUGACCGUCCCCGAGCCGGAGAUGCCGGCGUCGGCGCGCAGGCGUUUGUUCCUCGCCAGGUUCGACGCGCUCAUCUUCCUGCAUUGCGGGCUGCUCUGGGUCAUCUGCGCGGUGUACCUCGCCUUGGUCAUAGCGCGUCUUGCCCUGGGUAAGCUCGAGAUUCCCCCCGCGCUCUGGGCAGCGUCCUGGGUCUGCGCCUACAUCGUUCUGUGUCUCACCCCCGUUUCCACGUUCCUCGUCGGCGCGCGCUCCUCGCGCUCCGUGUACAACCCCACCGACGCCAACAAGGUGACCCUGCCAUGA